rnacentral:rRNA from 1 species
CAGGCCUAACACAUGCAAGUCGAGCGGACAAGAAGGGAGCUUGCUCCCGGAUGUUAGCGGCGGACGGGUGAGUAACACGUGGGUAACCUGCCUGUAAGACGGGAUAACUCCGGGAAACCGGAGCUAAUACCGGAUAGUUCCUUGAACCGCAUGGUUCAAGGAUGAAAGACGGUUUCGGCUGUCACUUACAGAUGGACCCGCGGCGCAUUAGCUAGUUGGUGGGGUAAUGGCUCACCAAGGCGACGAUGCGUAGCCGACCUGAGAGGGUGAUCGGCCACACUGGGACUGAGACACGGCCCAGACUCCUACGGGAGGCAGCAGUAGGGAAUCUUCCGCAAUGGACGAAAGUCUGACGGAGCAACGCCGCGUGAGUGAUGAAGGUUUUCGGAUCGUAAAGCUCUGUUGUUAGGGAAGAACAAGUGCGAGAGUAACUGCUCGCACCUUGACGGUACCUAACCAGAAAG